rfam:Aeromonas sp. RT39B genome assembly, contig: Ga0136726_103
GGUCGCUUAGCUCAGCUGGGAGAGCACCUCCCUUACAAGGAGGGGGUCACUGGUUCGAUCCCAGUAGCGACCA